CCUCCCUCCACGUCGAUUAAAGAUGCCCCGCGGGAGUUAGCGGAACGCGCGAGGCUCGCCUUUGCCUGGGAGCAGCGAGGCUCGAUCGUCAGUUGCGAAGCCCGGGCAGGCGAAGGCAGGUUGGCCGGAGGGGAGGUCGGCAGGCGCGGGAGCCCUUGUGGUGCCCGAGGGUUGUCGGAGCUUGGGACCGGGCCAGCUGGUGAGGUGAAGGAGGCAGCUUCUGAUUUCUCCCUCCUCUUCCUUUUUUCGCCGGCAGAAGCUCUCCCACUUUCCGGCCGGCACCCGAUUUGCGGAACUCAGAGGGUUCAACACUCAGGCCGAUGAAUUACAAAUGAAACUUUUACUCAGUUUUUCCAGAUUUCAACAGCAAGAUGUUUACUGCAAAUACUGCAACCUGGGUUACUUUUGAAGAUGAAUCCCAGUCUCCUCAGAGGUCAAGAGAAAAUGAUAACGUUUGCAGACCAAAUGGGCUUAAACUCACACUGCCUAAAAUGCAAGAUUUUUCAAACCAAUUGUCCUCCAUCACCUGUACUUCUCUCUCAUCUCCUAAAAGUGAUUACUUCUAUAGCCCUGAUCCCCCCAGUAAUUCUCCACUCUGUACACCCACCAGAGACUAUCCUGUCAGUCCUUGCUUUCCUAAAUCGGGAACUCAUUUUCUUAGUCCUAUUCCAGAAUUGCCAUCCAAUGUUAAUCAUCUCCCACUGAUUGAACCACCUUCUCAAAAACUGACUGGAAUAUCUCAGCCUGUGCACAGUUCAGAGUUCUCCACUCUGAAACCAAUACAUGGUGCACAAGUUAUGCAUCAGGAAAACUCAAAGAAAUUGGAAAAUUCCUUAGACUCUCAAGCCUUUUUUCAGAAUGUUUCAAGUGAGUCUGCUUUCUCCAAUCCAUUUUGGUCAGAAGAUUCAUCUACUGGGUCCUUGUCCAGCUUUCAUGUACAUGAAAAAGAGUCAGAUUUUGAAAGAGAUUGUUCUUUUAAAGGGAAGAAAAGCUGGCCAGAUCAGAAAAGCUUAAACCAGGGUUCAUUCAAUUAUAUAUGUGAGAGGCUUGAACACUUGAAAACAGAAACUUCAAACAAUGAAAGAACUUUGAGACCCAUUCCAUGUAUAUGCACUAGAGAUGGCCUUUCUUCAUUUAUUCCAAGCAGUCUCUUUAGCAGUCAGAGAAAAGAUGGCUGGCCUUUCAUGCUGAGGAUUCCUGAAAAGAAAAAUAUGAUGUCAUCAAGGCAGUGGGGUCCUAUUUACCUUAGAAUUUUACCAGGAGGAAUCCUACAAAUGUAUUAUGAAAAAGGUCUUGAAAAACCUUUCAAAGAAUUCCAGCUGCAUCCAUAUUGCAGGCUUUCAGAACCAAAGUUAGAGAACUGCAGUAUCUCUGGGAAAAUUCAUACGGUAAAAAUUGAAUAUGUGACAUAUAUAGAGAAGAAGAAGUACCCUAAAACUGAAGUGGUUCAUGAAGCAGAGAUCGAACAGAUGCUGAAAUUAGGAACAACUGAUUACGGUGACUUCACUGACUUCCUAAUGAUAGUUGAGGAAGAGUUAAUGAAGCUUCCUGCUAUUUCAAAAUCAAAGAGACACUAUGAAGAACAAGAAAUGAUCUUGGAAAUAGUGGAUAAUUUUUGGGGGACAAUUAGUAAAGCAGAAGACAGAUUAACUGAAACUGCUGUCAUAACUCAUAUUUAUUCAUUAAACUUUUUGAAUGGCAAUUCUGAAUGCUUUAUGACACUAAAUGACUUGGAGCUUCAAAAGAGGAAUGAACAUUAUUUUGAGUCAGACAAUAAGAAAAAAUUGAUCAAAAUUAACAACUAUCACUUUCAUCAAUGUGUGAAGAAACAAGAAUUUGAGCAAUCAAGAAUAAUUAAAUUUACACCACCAGAUGGCUGUAGAGUAGAACUAAUGCGUUAUAGGACACAAUAUAAUGGAUCAGAUCUUCCAUUUUCUAUCAAAGCCUUGUUAGUUGUUCAAGGAGCUUAUGUUGAACUGCAAGCUUUCAUAAACGUGUCUUCAGCAUAUUCAUACCCUACAAAACAUUGUGAGAAUGUAAUGGUUCACUUUCCUGUUCCCUCACAAUGGAACAAAACUCUUUGGACUAUGAACCUCCAAAGACAGAGAUCCCUGAAAGCAAAAAUGAACAGAAGAACUUGCCUUGGCUCUUUAAAUGAGCUUGAAUCUGACUCCAUUAUUCAUGUCUCAGUUGGAACAGCCAAGUAUGAAAGUGCCUAUAGAGCUAUUGUGUGGAAAAUUGACAGACUACCAGAUAAAAACGCAAAUCCAGAUCAUCUGCACAGUUUGUCUUUCAAACUAGAACUUGGCUCAGAUCAAGAAAUCCCUUCUGACUGGUGCCCUUUUGCUGUGGUGCAGUUCGUUGUGUCUGAUGCAUGUGCCUCAGGAACUGAAGUGAAAUCAUGGGGAAUUGAUAGGGAUGUACAGCCUCAGAAACAUGUGAUUCAGAAAGCAUGUUAUAAUUGCCAGGUUGAAAUUGAGAAGAAAUGGAUUAGACUUGAGGGAGAAGAUCCCAAUAAGAGUGGAGAUUGUGACAUACAGUAGAAGAGACAAGUAAUUUGGAUUCUUUUUGAGGUUGUGAGAACUAUUUUAAUGUAAGCAGGAUAAUUUAAAUGCAGUAAAGCAAUGUUGGAAGAUUUCAGUAUAUAAUUUUCAAAUUGUCAUAUAAAAAGUUUAGGUACAUAAUUGUCAGUUUGCUUUCUAAACAUUUAAUAUAUUAACUAUAACAUUAUAAAGGUAAUACUAUAAGUUGGUUCUGUUUCAGAGUUUGUGGGGAAAUAAACUGAACACAGUUAUAGCUUGCAACUCCCUAAGGCAGACUUACCUUUUCCUGAGGUAAUACAACUAUGCACUGCAACUGCCAUGUAAUUGGUGGGAAAAUAUAUUUGGGUUAACAAACUGCAGUAAAUUGUACUUGUACUUUUGUAUAUUCCUAAACAACCUUCUGCCUUUCAACCCAAAGGACAUACUAUAUUGAAAAUAACCAUAUUUUAUAUGACUUCAAAGUCAGCUGAUCACAAAUCAUUUUCAUGUUAGCAUCCAAAUGUUUCAACUUUUGAUGUUGUCUAGAAUCAUAAAACAUAGAUAAAAUCUGUCUGUAUAAUUUUGUUUAAUCUUCCAACUUUCACUAAAAAAGGCAGGCCCAACUAUAUUUAUUGGUGGAUUCAGUGGUGAACUUAGAGAUUUUACUGUAAAUUGAACCUUUUACAUUGUAAGUAUUUCAAUAUGUUCUUUUGCUACUUAAAAGUACAUGUGUGGGAAAUUAUUUACUAGAAUAUAACAUAGAUAUUUUUAGGGUAGUGCUGUUGGCAAAAAUAAAGGGCUAAUCCGUUGCUUCCUUCCAAAGUUGUUAAUGUAGGGGAAGCACUGCAAUAAUUUGAACUGUUCCUUUCCUUUGGGCUUUUGGUGAAAAUUGUUUUGCUUUGUAAUAUUUUGCCAUUAGGUUUUUUUUUGAAUCUCCAACAAGAACAUAUGUUAGAUUAGAAAAAAAGUCUUCAUUUGUUUUUCAUAAAAGCUGAAGAACAAGGUCUUUCAUAUGAACAUGAAAAGCAAAAUGUUCUUUUGUUCUACCAGAUGAGCUAGAAUUUACUUAAGGAGUGUGGAAUGGAUUGCACUUGGCUUUAUGAGAAAACAGCUAUAACUAAUACAAUCAGUUUACCCUUUGGGCUAUUUUGAACUUAUUUUUAAAAUUUAUUAUUUAGACAUUUGACACAUUUGGGAAGAGGACUCAUCACUAUUUUCAAUCUUGAGGCCUUGCUGCUCACAGAAGAAUGGUUUGAUGCUGAAAGUAUUAUCAACAUUUGAGCAAUAGAUGUGAUGCAGUUUGGUACUUGCUGAAUAUUCUUUAUAGUUAAAAGAGGACUUACUGGAGAACUAUUCUACAUGUGAAAAGGUAAACUAGUGUAUACUACUGCAAGUUCUGUAUGGAAUCAGUCAUGCAUCAACUUCCCUGAAUAGGUGAGAAUACCUGCGUGUUCCACAACUAAUUACCACAGGAAAUUACUCAGAAUUUAUUGUAAGAUGGCUCACUUCCAACACUUAGUCCUCCCUCUCAAUUUUCUAGCUUCUUCAGGAAACCAAAUGAGUUCCUCCUGAGCUUAACGGGAUUGAUAAUCAGGACCAAUAGGUUUCUUGGACAAAGUUUUACCUUUGAAAUCUGCAGUGGACUUAUUACCAUACUAACCAUAUCUUGUUCAGAAAUUUUUCCAAAUUUCAAAGAGUUUCUUCUCUGGAGACUUAUGCCAAUAUUCAAGGAAGGCAAACCAAAAUGCUAUUCUUAUGUUCUAGAGACAACAGAUGGAAGGAAUUUCAGGAUCUGGAAAGCAGAUUGCAAUAACAAGAUGAUUCAGAGCCUCUUAUCUUUCUGGGAGUUCAAAUACAGUACAUAUUUUGAAAAACAGUGAUUGGUCAAGCUAUCAUUAGCCUUUUUCAAAAUCAGCACAUUCUCAACUUGAUAAUUGCGUGACUUGCAGUAACAGCGAUGCGUCAAAAUAGGACAAAACCUUAUUUUUCCAUGCAACAAGCAUCCUUCCAGCAUAAGCCAACUUCUCCUUUUGCCACUUAAAACCAUUCAAGGCCUCACAACAGGCUGAGUUGAAUAAACCUGUAAGUAGGAAAAAGGUUCCUUCCUUGGAGAAUGUUUUUUUGUCAAACAUUUUGGUUUGCCUGUUACCAGUUUGUCUUUCACUUCAAAAAAAAUUGUUGACAUUUUACUUUUGUUUUCCCACUGAAGACAUGGAAACAGCAGGUGUUUUAUAUUAACUGAUGACAUGGAGAUUUGUUGUACAUAAUCUUACUGAACCCUCUGAUUACCCAGGUGCUAUCUACAGCAGUAUUGGAAGAAACAAAAUUCCUUUGGUGGUAGCAUAUGACUUUGUGGGCCCUUGUUUAAGAUCUGAAACAGCUAUCAAUUAGUUCACUGCUGGGUCUUUCUAUGGCUCUGGACAUUUUUUUCAAAGAGGUGUUUUCAAGAUUUAGAUAUGAAUUGGUUAUAGCUUACCAUGUUAAAAUAUGAAGAAAAGGAAAUCUCAAUAUCUUUGGUUUCCUAAAUCUAGUCUAUUAAUUGCAUAUAUAAAGCAGGAUGCUGCAUUUUUAGUGUUAUGAUCGGACAAGAGUUUUGGAUCCCACACAUCUCAAAGUCAUGUUUUUAAUACUGUUUACCAAAUCAUUAUUUUUGUCCUGUAUCUGACUUUAAACUCCCAUGUGGAUAUUCUCUAAGCUCUUCCCUUUUGCGGCUUCUGAUUUUAUCCAGAAGAGUAUUAGAGCUGACAUUAGCAACUUGGUCAGCAUGCGAGGAGUUCUAUAGCUUGAAUUCAGGGAUGUUCUUUCUUUUGGAUCAAAAAUCAUUUCCAUAUGAAUCAGGAAGUGAUAUUUUUAAACCUUCUUUGAGCGUAGAAGAGGAGUGAGAUAAUCAGAAUCUGUGAUACACAUUGAAAUCCUACCUGAUUAAAAUCCUGGACGUCAUAUUUUCUGCUCAUUUUGUUUUUGUAGUCAUGUUGAAAAAUAAUACAAUAUUACAAUCCCAUCAAACAAUAAUCAGAAGUGGUAGUGGCAGCAA